ensembl:lincRNA
GGAAGAAAUAAUAGAGCCAUGCAUAGCAGACAAAUCCAUGCUUAAAUGAUCAUCUAGGCCUGUUUCAUUUUCUAGUUGAUUCCUUCCAUAUUUGAAGGGGAAAAAAUUAAAAACCCAUCAAUGUCACAUUACAUCCAGGAGCAUUUUCACGUCAACCAUUUCUCAGCCCUGACUUCAGAACUGUUCAAAUUUCCCUCUCUUUCUCACCAUGACAGAGCCGUUUCUGAGGUUGGUGAACUCCUUUUGAUCGCAUCAGGUCUACUGGAGGCUGGGGGAGCGCCCUGAAACCAGCUCCUGAAGCCGUCCCUGCCUCCUUCCCAGAGGCAUUUUUCUGGCUUUCUCGUGCCCGCUACUUCUCCAUUUGGGCAUUUUCCAAGCACACUGCCCUGGCUGGUCUCUGGGCAGCAUGAGAACCAGAACUAGACCGAGUCACCCAGCGGCUCUGAAACACACUUCCCAACAUCCGCAGGCCUCCGGUCUCCACCUGGGCAUUAGCAGGAGCGCUCUGAAAGUAGGGGGCUGGGGUUGGGGGGCCUCAGGGCCCACCUAAGGGCUUCUCUGAACUCACAGGCUGAUCCUUUUUUUCCUCUCUCGUUUUCCUUCUUCAUUUUUUGAGGGUACCCUCCUCCUCCAGCCCUCUGGCUCUCCGCUGCCAGAUCCCGCACCACCUGUCCCUCCUGGGUGCCUGCCCCGCUGCAGGCCCGGGUGAGCACCGUGGUGAGUACCACAGCACAACCGCGCAAACACACGCAAACACACGUCCCUGCUGCAGCCGGCCCAUGUGGCGGCUCGCAGUGUGACCUAGGCAAGCGCAGUAAAUAAACAUCCAUAAGCACUCCACAGCACCGAGGCGAGGGGGUCCUCCAGCCCUCUGGACUCUUCUGGAACUGCUCCCUAAGAUCCUGAAAGGGAGCAGGGCACAGCCAGGGAAAGGCUGCAGGCAGGAGCAGGAGGAGGGCAGCUGUGCCCUCCAGUCCUCCUUCCAGACCUGGGGGAGGGGGCGCUCUCGCCUGCAGCCCCGGGACAGCCCCGCGGGCCGCCAGGCGGCAGGGCUGACGGGCUUGCAGGAUGGCUGGGUGACCUCGGCCAACUUCGGCGACUCCUUGGGGAAGGUGAAAGGGUUGGGGAGCCUGAGGCUCGGAGGGUGGGGGGAGACGCCAGGGCCUGGCAGCAGGGAUCCCAAGGGGGUUUCUGCCAGCGACAGCUCCCCGACUCCUGGCACGGUCCGCCCCCGCGACCCCGGCCCCUGCAGCCCGGCGCCCGAACUCUGCCCUGACUUUGCCACUUUCCGGAGCAGGAGUCCGUCUCCACCGACCGGGAGGGGGAGGGGAGGGGUGCUCCCCGACAGGCUCCGCGCAGUUCGGAGCCGCUGUCUGGGCGCUCGCCGCCUCGCCGCGCCGGUCAGGGUGACAUUCAGUGCCAACUGCUCCCUUUUGACCGGCGCCAGUCCCCGCCUGGGCAAAACACAUUUGCGAAGCGUGGGGGGAAGGGAAGGCAGCGCCCCCUCGGCCCCGAGCUGGGGGUUUCUGUGCCGCCCAAGCCCGAGCCCCAUCUGCACGACCCGCUGCUGCCCGCUACCCACCAGGCCCAGGCCGACACGGGCAGAACCGGCCCGGAGCCUCCGCCCCACCGCCACGCGUGUCCGUGUCCGCGGCCGCGCUGCUGACCUGCGCGGCGGCUGCGCCCGGUGUGUAGGCCUCGCCACCACCCGAGCUAUUUUCGUCUCCGGGAGAUGUUCUUUAAAGCCUUUUAAAAAUGGGGAGGGGGCAGGGAAGAAAAGACAGAAACCAGGAGAGGAAAGUCCAAGGCCCCAUUUCAGAGGCUGUAGGGGCGCACCAUCAAACUGGGGGAGGGGGCCCGGCCUCCGACCCGCCCGGGGAGUUCGGAAGGGCACAGCCAGCCACCAGCUUUAUUUGACUUAUUCUACAACCGCAGGAAAACUUUUUUUUUAUUUAAAAAUACAAAGCUGUUAUUGGCAACUAGUCACUGUAUUGGUCAUUUUUAUUAUAAUGCUGUCCGCGAUCUGUAGGAAAGAGCUCAAGGAUAAUCCUGCGGUUAUUUCUGCAAACAGGAAAAUAUAUUUCAGCGGGGGGUGGCCCCAGGACGGAUAA